rnacentral:rRNA from 1 species
GGAGGAUGCGAGCGUUAUCCGGAUUUAUUGGGUUUAAAGGGAGCGCAGACGGGAGAUUAAGUCAGUUGUGAAAGUUUGCGGCUCAACCGUAAAAUUGCAGUUGAUACUGGGUGUCUUGAGUACAGUAGAGGCAGGCGGAAUUCGUGGUGUAGCGGUGAAAUGCUUAGAUAUCACGAAGAACCCCGAUUGCGAAGGCAGCCUGCUAAGCCGCCACUGACGUUGAGGCUCGAAAGUGCGGGUAUCAAACAGGAUUAGAUACCCUGGUAGUCCGCACGGUAAACGAUGGAUACUCGCUGUUGGCGAUAGACGGUCAGCGGCCAAGCGAAAGCGUUAAGUAUCCCACCUGGGGAGU